AGGGGAUUUGGAUCUGGCCCGAAGCUGUUAUCGGAAUGUUGUUGUUUCCUCUGGAGUAGGGGUCAGCAAGCAGAAGCAAACCAUGGAAAUCGAGAUCGAGCCCUUCACUGAAAGCAAUUCGGAGCCAUUUGUUAUUCCUACAGGAGAGACUGAAGAGAUCGAACUGGUCCUGGGAAAGAAAGACAAGACUGUGAAGAUUGGUUUGGGUUUGCCGGAAC
rnacentral:lncRNA from 1 species